AGCGAACGCUGGCGGCAGGCUUAACACAUGCAAGUCGAGCGGGCAUAGCAAUAUGUCAGCGGCAGACGGGUGAGUAACGCGUGGGAACGUACCUUUUGGUUCGGAACAACACAGGGAAACUUGUGCUAAUACCGGAUAAGCCCUUACGGGGAAAGAUUUAUCGCCGAAAGAUCGGCCCGCGUCUGAUUAGCUAGUUGGUA
rnacentral:rRNA from 1 species